AUGUACACGGCUGGGGCCAGGCAGCCCGCCGGCGUCCGGACGCGGAGACCAAUUCAGUCCUGUAAAAUUGCGCAUUCUGGACGGCGGCGGACAAUUUUGCCUGGACCGAAUCGGGGGCUCGGCUCACUGGUAGCCGCCGAGGCCGGUGAGCAGCAGCUCGUGCGGCCGCAGCAGCGUCGGGGUGGCUGGCGCCGAGGCGCCCAGGUAGAAGAAGUCGAAGUCGGAGGCGUCGGGCACGCCGGCGGCGGUGGCCCAGAGAGCGCCGGCCAUCUCGUCGGGGAUGAGCAGGGCGCGGCAGAGCGGGCAGGUGCGCUGGUCGUGCUCCAUCCAGCGGUCCAGGCACCCCCGGUGGAAGGCGUGGCGGCAGUUGCUGAGCCGCCGCACCUCGUCGCCGCCGCCGAUGCCGCUGAGGCACACGGCGCAGUCCCCGUCGACGCACGCCGCGGCCUCCAGCUCGUCGAACCGCACCACGGGGAGCACCUCCUCGAUGACCAUGGCCGUCACGGGCCGGAACUCGGGCCGGCGGUGCUGCAGCAGCAGCGCGUGGUGCGCCGCGGCGGCGUGGUCGGCGCGCGCGUGCUCCUGCGCCAGGUGCUCGUCCCCGAGAUCCAGCAGGUCGCCGAGGCCGACGGCGUCGAAGGCCCAGAGGAGGAAGCGGCGGAGGUAGCCGAGCAGGAGGAGGAGGUGGAGCAGCUGCUUGGGGAGCAGCAGCUCGGAGUAGCCGACCGGGAAGCCCAUGCCUGUCGCUCGCCUUGCCAAGGAGAAGCGUCCGCGCCGCCUGCUGACCGCUGCGGUCUCGGCACGGCAGGGAGGAUGAGAGGCAAGUGUGAGGACGAUGGUGCGCUGGUGGUGGUGGUGGUGGCAGGCGUGGGGAGGCCGAGACGAGGCGAGGCCGGCUUAUAUAAAAGCGAAGGAGCGGCGCGGGGAAGGAUCCGGCUGGGUGGGGGUGGCAGCGUCCGGUUGGGGUUGGGGUUGGGUGGCGUGGUGUCACCGGUGUGUCGUGCGCGCGACUCUGACCCGAUGACCGACUCCCAAUCCCAGCCAGCCCCGCGAGUCGGUGUGACUGACUGGCCCGCCCGCCGCCGGGCCGGGUGUCACCGCGACCCCCCGCGCGCGUGGCCCGUCUGA
rnacentral:rRNA from 1 species